rnacentral:rRNA from 1 species
GACAGAGGUGCCAAGCGUUAGGCGGAAUCACUGGGCUUAAAGCGCACGUAGGCGGACUCUUAAGUCGGUGGUGAAAUCCUGGAGCUCAACUCCAGAACUGCCUUCGAUACUGAGAGUCUCGAGUCCGGGAGAGGUGAGUGGAACUGCGAGUGUAGAGGUGAAAUUCGUAGAUAUUCGCAAGAACACCAGUGGCGAAGGCGGCUCACUGGCCCGGUACUGACGCUGAGGUGCGAAAGCGUGGGGAGCAAACAGG